AAAAGACUUAGUCCUAACCUUACUAUUAGUUGCUGCCAGACCUAUACAUGCAAGUAUCCGCGCCCCAGUGUAAAUGCCCCCAACCCCUUACCAAGACAAGAGGAGCAGACAUCAGGCACACUCAUCGUAGCCCAAAACGUCUUGCUUAGCCACACCCCCACGGGUACUCAGCAGUAAUUAACAUUAAGCAAUAAGUGAAAACUUGACUUAGCCAUGGCAACAUCCAGGGUUGGUAAAUCUUGUGCCAGCCACCGCGGUCAUACAAGAAACCCAAACUAAUCGUACACGGCGUAAAGAGUGGCCCAACACUAUCGUUCCCUCUGAGGUCGAAACAUACCUGAGCUGUCAUAAGCCCAAGGUACUCCUAAGCCCCAUCAACCCCCCUCACCUCAGCCCCAACGACUAACCAACCCCACGAAAGCCAGGAAACAAACUGGGAUUAGAUACCCCACUAUGCCCGGCCAUAAAUCCAAAUGCUUCCCUUACCCAAGCAUUCGCCAGGGAACUACGAGCACAAACGCUUAAAACCCUAAGGACUUGGCGGUGUCCCAAACCCACCUAGAGGAGCCUGUUCUAUAAUCGAUAACCCACGCUACACCCAACCUCCCCUUGCCCCAAGCAGCCUAUAUACCGCCGUCGCCAGCUCACCUCUCCUGAGAGCCCAACAGUGAGCACAACAGUCUUACCCACUAAAAAGACAGGUCAAGGUAUAGCCCAUGGAGAGGAAGAAAUGGGCUACAUUUUCUGACACAGAAAACCAACGGAAAGAGGGCCUGAAAACCAACCCUCAAAAGGCGGAUUUAGCAGUAAAACAUGACCAUCAUGCCUGUUUUAAACUGGCCCUGGGACACGUACAUACCGCCCGUCACCCUCCUCAUAGCAACUCUUCCCACACCAACUAGAACCCCAACUAGCCAAAGAUGAGGUAAGUCGUAACAAGGUAAGUGUACCGGAAGGUGCACUUAGCAUAC
rnacentral:ncRNA from 1 species